GUGCUUGGUUCAGCAGUACAUAUACUAAAAUUGGAACGCUACAGAGAUUAGCAUGGCCCCUACACAAGGACGACACACUAAUUUGUGAAGCAUUUCAUAUUUUU
ensembl:snRNA U6 U6 spliceosomal RNA